CGAUGCGGAGAGGCUUUGACUUGAUGUCGAAGGAGAAGAUGGUUUCAAAAUGCUUUUUCCAUCGAUUUGACCGAAUUGGACAUCAGCUGGAAACUGAAUUAAUCGGGAAGUAGAGACCUUCAGUAGGAUAACAGGUGGAAAUCAUCUCCAUGGCAACACCAUCAAAUCUAACAACACACAUAGAGGAGAACAGCCAACUGGAUUCCAGUAUCCUGGGGGAAUUGGAGCUUUUUGACCCUCUAGGAAACAUAGAUCCCAAUGCUAACCGGGGGGCGGAGCCAAACUUCAACCUCAACUUCAAUCUGAAUUCUCCAAGUAACCCGCGCCCCAUCACAAAGGCCUUAAAGCUCCAAGCAACUAACAAAAAGGACAGAAACAAAGAUGGAGGGGAACCUGGAGUAAAGGGUGAGGUAACCAUGGAGACCAAGGCUACGCUGAUGUCACCUGGUGAGAAACAAAAGAGUAUCGUUCCAACAUCUUCUAGGUCACAGAUCUCUCAGAUGGUCGUGAACAACAGAGACGUACGACAGAAAUUACAAAUGAGCAGCGCCAGAACCACAGACAGACACAGAACAGCAACAAAACCUGGUUCUGCUCUGACCACCGAAGAAAGAGCGAAGACCACCAAGAUGACUGUGAGCCUCACCAUAAAAACAGGCCCAAGAGUUCACAGUCAGAAAGAAGAUCCAAAUCCCAUCAGUCCGCCAACAGAUGUGUCUAAAACCAGCAAAAUGAAGCCAGGAGCAGCCCUGAAAACCCAAAUGUCCUUCACAGGUGCAAGGAAACCCACCUGGACCAGAACCAGUGGAACAUCAGAGUCCAAGGAACGUAUCCAUGCUAAAGAUUCAAGUACUGGAUUAGAGUCCAAAUCUAGACCCAAAUCCAGCUCAAGCUUUAAAGCAACAAGGGCAUCCAAGGACAGUCUUUGUUCAAAAACCAGUACAAACUCCAAAUCCCAAACUGGCUCCAGAGACACUCUGGAUUCAAAAAGCAGCUCAGCUUCUAAAAGCAGUUUGGACUUCAAGAACAGCUUAAACUAUAAAAUGGACUGGAGCUCCAAAGCUGCUCCCAAAUUUAAGAUUGGUCUCAGCGACACUCUAGACUUAGAAACCAGCACAAAACCCCAAACAACGAAAACCCACAAAGAUUCUCAAAAGGUUUUUUAUUCAGGGUCUGACUUGAAGGUCGGCUCUGUUUCUGAUCUCAUCUCAAGAGAAAGACUUAAAACCAAGGGUUCUACAGCUGAGUCCAGUCUAGAUCCAUCAGAUUCUCCCAGGUCUGGACCAGUUUGGUCAAAUUCAAAGUCAGCUCUGGAAAAAUCAGCUUUGACACCAUCUUUGAUAUCAGUAAAUCGAAAUAUGGACUCCAGAUCUGGGACAAGUCUUGGUCUAAGUUCAGCUGGACCAAACAAGGAAGACCAGAUAAGUCCCAGUUCUUCAUCAGGUAAUUAUCUUGUCAAAAAGUUCUAUUCUCCCUUAGUGACAUGGUUUCCGGGGUCUUGGUAUCUCUAA
rnacentral:lncRNA from 1 species